rnacentral:rRNA from 1 species
GUUAAGUAGGUGUCAGCAGCCGUGGGAAUACAGUGUGGGCAAGCGUUAAGCGGAAUUACUGGGCGUAAAGCGCGCGUAGGUGGUUCAGUAAGAUGGGUGUGAAAUCCCCGGGCUUAACCUGGGAACUGCUUUCAUAACUGCUGAGCGAGAGUACGGUAGAGGGUAGUGGAAUUUCCGGUGUAGCGGUGAAAUGCGUAGAUAUAGGAAGGAACACCAGUGGCGAAGGCGACUACCUGGACUGAUACUGACACUGAGGUGCGAAAGCGUGGGGAGCAAACAGGAUUAGAUACCCGGGUAGUC